AACUUUCAACAAUGGAUCUCUUGGCUCUGGCAUCGAUGAAGAACGCAGCGAAAUGCGAUAAGUAGUGUGAAUUGCAGAAUUCAGUGAAUCAUCNAAUCUUUGAACGCACAUUGCGCCCUUUGGUAGCCCAAAGGGCAUAUCUGUUCGAGUGUCA
rnacentral:rRNA from 1 species